UCGAAGAACUACUGAACUGGCUGAAGGUAGAGCUACCUACGGCCGCAAAUUUGUGUACGGUUAUUUUCAUCAACUUCAAGUCACACUACCUCAAACUUUUCCAUCAGAACAAAAUCCAUCACAUUUCUCCUUGGAUCACCUCUUUAUCAGUCCAAAUAUUGUAAAA